GUCCAUGUCUAAUACCUUUUGAUAUUGCAUCUUAUCUCUUCAAUUUUCUGUAAAAUCUGCACAUAUGGGUAUGUCAAAUUUCUGAACUUGUGGUGUGAGGAGGUUCUUUUUGUAUUAUUGCUUGGGCCUCGAGGAAAGUUUUGGGUUUAUGAAAACCGUUAUGAGAUUCAAGAUCUAGGUGGUCAGUUUGGGAGGAAAGGUACACCAGAUUUUUUCGCAAUGAGAGCAAGACAACGGAUUUGAUCUCCCAAAGGGCAAGUUUCGUAAUUAUUGAGUGGGCCUCUAAAAUUGAUUGUUACUUCUCUAUCUGUUCUUUAUCUGUACAUCAGUGAGAUUUUGUGCCAGGUUUGUUUGAUUUGCUUAUGCAGACAUACAAAGUACUUGUUCUCUUUCUGACCCUCCUGGAUUACUGGUCCAUAUGCCCUCCUAUGAAUUUCUGGAAGAAAGGAAUCCAUUAAGAUUGUUGGACUAGGGAUCAACGGAACAUUGGGUCUCCAGCUAUCAAGCCUCCUCUCACUGAAAUAUUUGAGAAGGCUACCAAUGCUAUGAUGCUUGCGUCAAGCGCUGUCAAAUGGGUCAUGGGCCCAACUGCCAUAGUUGUCACAUUUCCCAAAGAAGUUGGCCUGCCCAGCAUAUUUGACUCUAAGCCAUGCAGACACGGAUUCCAGCUGCCUCAACUUUAGCUACUAUGUUGGAUGGUCCUUCAUCCAUUUUUCUGCGAGUAGCAGAAUACAAAGAAUCCACAAAACAUGGACCUUUUACUACUCUUUCAAGCUCCCUCGGUUAAAUUCUAAUGCAGCUUCAUACAGGCUUACUAUACUUGAUUCGUCAUGAAACGCAUAGUGGAUUGUUGGCGUCCUCAUUCAAAGUUCUCAUGCUUCUGAUUGCUGCCACUCCGUAUGGUUUCGCCUUUAAAUGAGAUUUUUGUUUUGAUUGAAGUUUCUCUUAUCAUCUGUACACACUACUCGGCAGAUUUGUAUUGGAUUUUAUCAUGUUUAUGUUUUGUGGCACCCUAUCAUAUUCGAUUAUUUUUCUUUUGUAUAUUGUUAGCAUCUUUUAUCUACUCAUUGCACUACCUAUUGCACUGUACAUUCCCAGUCACUAUACUUCUCCUACCCUUCUCAGAAUCAUCUGUUUAAUGUAAUUUUCUUAUCAGAUCAUCACAGCUUAUGCUAAUCUUGAGAUGCUAAGAUGGCGUAAUGAGUUCUCUGAAACACCAUUACACAUGUUUUUCAAACAAGAUUUAUCUCAAUUUACUUUUGGAUUAAUUAGGCUUUCUUUUGUUUGCACAUGAACUUGGGGUUUAAAUCUGAAGUAAUAUCAAAAUGUGUUCUAUGAAUAUUCUUUGAAGAAUUAUUUUAGAACAUUUUAACAAUCUUUGAUGUUGUUCACUUAAAUAUUGUCUAUUUUCUAGGUAUUCUGAAAAUGAUGUGCUUUAGAGUUUCUCCACAAGUCAUUAAAAGAUGCCAAAUUUCUGUUCUUUUUCAAAAUGUUGUAAUAUUUGGAUUGAUUUUCUUCUUCUAAACAUGGCGUUAAAGCAGAGGCUCGACGCGCAUAAAGGGCAGGGUGAAGAACUGAAGGAAGCAGUAAGGAAUAUGUUUAGCACAGUCAAUGAUCCAUUGCUCAUUGCUUUGAAUUUGAAUUAUGUUGCAUAGUAGAGAUGAAUUGGGAAAGCAAUUGGUUACUAUGGAUGGUUGUAGUGUGGUUCAUGUGUUACCAUAGCUUCAAUUCUCUUUGAAAGAUGUGUCAUGAUUAGAAACUCCUGCUUAUUUGCCAAUCCGACUAUCAGAUUGGUGGACACUGAUUGGAUGUUCAUCCAUUGGUCCUACUUAUACAAACAAACGUCCACCAAUCAUAGAUUAGGACUUUUCACCAUAUCUAAUUUUUGGGACUGAUUAGAAAAAAGUGAAUUCCACAUUUUACUCGUUUUAGUCUGAAACAAUGUGUGCCACAUGUACAAUUUCCUCAUACUAGAGUAACAUAAACCUGUCCACUG